GACCGCGUAGCUCAGUUGGCAGAGCAAUGGGCUAGUAUUCCAAAGGUCGUAGGUUCGAAUCCCACCGUGGCCA
rnacentral:tRNA from 1 species